UGUUUUCGAAUUAUUGUCAUAAUAAAAUAACGACCGUUACCACUCCGAACAUUUUUUGAAUGAAACGUUGAACUUGAACUUGUUUUUAUAUUGAAAUUUACCCAGAUCGAUUUACUUCGUCAUUUAUAAGCAUCAAUGUUUCAAAUGAUAUAAAUAAUUAUAAUAAUAAUAUCUGGAAGUAUUGAAGCAUUACGUAACAUUAUAUAAUAUACCGUGUCAAUAACCAACAUCGGUAACGAACGAGUGACGGGUUAACGAUAGACGAGACGUUCGUGGUAUUAAACGAUGUAAAACGUGUGGCAUAAGAAAGACGUAAUUCGCACGAUGGGUGGGCCACUGCCGUAGACGAGAUGUCGAGAAGGUAGGACAUGGAGGGGAAUAUUCAAUUUAUAUCCGUACCCUCUACAGUAUGCUAAUGCUAACGGAAAACGUAUAGGAACGUAAACUUUCCCUUUUUUCCCCCCCGAUUAUUAUGAAAAGCGCUCG